AAUCUGCCCCGAUGACCGGGACAACCCGAGGAAACUCGGGCUAAUACCGGAUGUGGUGCACGGAUUUAAGUCUGUGUACUAAAGGAAGCUUCGGCCUCCGCAUUGGGAGGAGCUCGCGGCCCAUUAGCUUGUUGGUGGGGUAACGGCCUACCAAGGCGACGAUGGGUAGCUGGUCUGAGAGGACGAUCAGCCACACUGGGACUGAGACACGGCCCAGACUCCUACGGGAGGCAGCAGUGGGGAAUCUUGCGCAAUGCGCGAAAGCGUGACGCAGCAACGCCGCGUGGGGGAAGACGGCCUUCGGGUUGUAAACCCCUUNCAGGAGGGACGAAGGUUCACCGGUGAAUAGCCGAGUGGAUUGACGGUACCUCCACAAGAAGCUCCGGCUAACUACGUGCCAGCAGCCGCGGUAAUACGUAGGGAGCAAGCGUUGUCCGGAAUCAUUGGGCGUAAAGCGCGCGUAGGUGGCCACAUAAGUCCGUUGUGAAAGUCAAAGGCUCAACCUUUGAAAGCCGAUGGAUACUGUGUGGCUAGAGUACGGAAGAGGCGAGUGGAAUUCCUGGUGUA
rnacentral:rRNA from 1 species